AAUUUUUAAUUUAAUAAAAUAUAAUAUGAUAUAUAUAUAUAUAUAUAUAUAUUAUGAAAAAUAAAUAUGA
rnacentral:rRNA from 1 species